UACGUAGGUGACCAGCGUUGUCCGGAUUUACUGGGCGUAAAGAGCGCGCAGGCGGUCGUUCAAGUCGAGUGUGAAAGCCCCCGGCUCAACUGGGGAGGGUCAUUCGAUACUGAUCGACUUUGAAGGCAGGAGAGGGAAGUGGAAUUCCCGGUGUAGUGGUGAAAUGCGUAGAUAUCGGGGAGGAACACCAGUGGCGAAGGCGACUUCCUGGCCUGUUCUUGACGCUGAGGCGGCGAAAGCUAGGGGAGCAAACGGG
rnacentral:rRNA from 1 species